AGUGAACGCUGGCGGCAGGCCUAAUACAUGCAAGUCGAACGGCAGCACGGCAGAGCUUGCUCUGUGGGUGGCGAGUGGCGGACGGGUGAGGAAUACAUGGGAAUCUGCCCAGUCGUGGGGGAUAACGUAGGGAAACUUACGCUAAUACCGCAUGCGCCCUUCGGGGAAAGCCGGGACCUUCGGGCCUGGCGCGAUUGGAUGAGCCCAUGUCGGAUUAGCUAGUUGGCGGGGUAAUGGCCCACCAAGGCGACGAUCCGUAGCUGGUCUGAGAGGAUGAUCAGCCACACUGGAACUGAGACACGGUCCAGACUCCUACGGGAGGCAGCAGUAGGGAAUAUUGGACAAUGGGCGCAAGCCUGAUCCAGCCAUGCCGCGUGAGUGAAGAAGGCCCUCGGGUUGUAAAGCUCUUUUGUCCGGAAAGAAAAGCGCCGGGUUAAUACCCUGGUGUCCUGACGGUACCGGAAGAAUAAGCACCGGCUAACUUCGUGCCAGCAGCCG
rnacentral:rRNA from 1 species